AUUUAAGGUUCCCCUAUAGAAUAUAUAGAUCCCCCUAUAGGAUGUUUUGGGUUCCCCUAUAGGAUCUAUAGGUUCUUAUCCCCUAUAGGAUGUGUAGGGGCCGGCGUGUGCCGGGGCUCUAUAGGCUCCCCUAUAGGAUCUAUAGGUGUGUAGGGGCCGGCGUGUGCCGGGGCUCUAUAGGCUCCCCUAUAGGAUCUAUAGGCUCCCCUGUAGGAUCUAUAGGUGUGUAGGGGCCGGCGUGUGCCGGGGCUCUAUAGGCUCCCCUAUAGGAUCUAUAGGCUCCCCUAUAGGAUCUAUAGGUGUGUAGGGGCCGGCGUGUGCCGGGGCUCUAUAGGCUCCCCUAUAGGAUCUAUAGGUGUGUAGGGGCCGGCGUGUGCCGGGGCUCUAUAGGCUCCCCUAUAGGAUCUAUAGGCUCCCCUAUAGGAUCUAUAGGGUGUGUAGGGGCCGGCGUGUGCCGGGGCUCUAUAGGCUCCCCUGUAGGAUCUAUAGGCUCCCCUAUAGGAUCUAUAGGGUGUGUAGGGGCCGGCGUGUGCCGGGGCUCUAUAGGCUCCCCGGCCGUAGGUGACCCCGGCCUUGCUGUGGCCUCGGCCCCGGGGGCGGCG